CUUGACAUCCAGCGAACUUUCCAGAGAUGGAUUGGUGCCUUCGGGAACGCUGAGACAGGUGCUGCAUGGCUGUCGUCAGCUCGUGUUGUGAAAUGUUGGGUUAAGUCCCGCAACGAGCGCAACCCUUUAUCCUUUGUUGCCAGCGAUUCGGUCGGGAACUCAAAGGAGACUGCCGGUGAUAAACCGGAGGAAGGUGGGGAUGACGUCAAGUCAUCAUGGCCCUUACGAGUAGGGCUACACACGUGCUACAAUGGCGCAUACAAAGAGAAGCGACCUCGCGAGAGCAAGCGGACCUCAUAAAGUGCGUCGUAGUCCGGAUCGGAGUCUGCAACUCGACUCCGUGAAGUCGGAAUCGCUAGUAAUCGUGGAUCAGAAUGCCACGGUGAAUACGUUCCCGGGCCUUGUACACACCGCCCGUCACACCAUGGGAGUGGGUUGCAAAAGAAGUAGGUAGCUUAACCCUCGGGAGGGCGCUUACCACUUUGUGAUUCAUGACUGGGGUGAAGUCGUAACAAGGUAAGCGUAGCGAG
rnacentral:rRNA from 1 species